rnacentral:rRNA from 1 species
UGAAGCCGGAAUCGCUAGUAAUCGUGGAUCAGCAUGCCACGGUGAAUACGUUCCCGGGCCUUGUACACACCGCCCGUCACACCACGAGAGUUUGUAACACCCGAAGUCGGUAGGGUAACCUUUAUGGGGCCAGCCGCCGAAGGUGGGACAGAUAAUUGGGGUGAAGUCGUAACAAGGUAGCCGUAUCGGAAGGUGCGGCUGGAUCACCUCCUUUCUAAGGAA